rnacentral:misc_RNA from 1 species
AUAAGGAAUAUGGCUAAUUAGAUAAAUACAAGUAGCCUUGAUGUUGCUCUUCGAGGAAAUUUGUGUUGGAGUAUGAACCGGGAGGGGACCGGCUUUUGUCAAUUCUGAAGACAACAGGCUUCAAGCCAUGUAAAUAUUACAGAAAAUAUAAAGCAAAAAUAAGGGGAUAUAUCUACAUAUGGAACAAUUACAGUGGAAAGAUCCCAUGCUAGGAAGACAGCCUUACCUCACAAGAAAUGUUGGCUAGACAAGUGGGUAAUACCUCCCCACUACAAAAGCCGUCUUCUCAUAAGCUGUGUCAAUUAGAUCCCACACUUAUACGCUUCUACACGGAAAUGCCACAAAGAUCUCAAAGUACUUCACAGUGUUGAAAAUGCAAGUAUGAAAAGCUCUUAAUUAGCUUUGUCAUAGCAAAGAUGCCAAUGGAAACCAGAGCUAAGCCAAGCGUGUGAAGAUGCAGCUAUUACAGAAAAUACCAGGAAUCAUACUGCAAAAUCUUUAGACUUUUUGGACUUGCUCGUGAACUUCUAAUGCUUCCAGAACGCUGCUUACCCACCCUUCAAGACCAGGACUUGUUGGAUGGUAUAUAUUUCUGAACCCAAGUUUUUUAGCUGCAGAAGCUGUUGUCUCCCCAAUACAUGCAACAGCAUUGUCCCACUGUCUCGAUGCAGUAAGAUUAGCCCAUACCCUGAGGGCAGAAGGAGAUGCUACAGUAACAACGGGAACAGAGAGUGCUAGUUCAAGAAGAUAUUGAUCAACGUGAUUGACUGGUGCCGUUGUGUAAGUGUUCAGCCGAGUAACCUCGAAUCCCCGCCCAGAAAGUCCUUCCUCGAUGUCAGUGCUGGCUUUUGCUGAAGCAGGAUAGAGAACAGUGCACUUGUCAUUUCCAUUCUUCGGAAGCUCUAAAGCUAAAACCUUGCCAGUUGCCUUCGAUGGUGCAAAUGCCAUAUCAAGAUACUGCUUUGAAGACUGAACAGCUUCAUCAAAUAUGCUGGCUGUACCAGAUCCAACAACUCCUACUCUGACAGAUGGGGUCCCAGCAGCUUUCCAAGCAUCAAGAAAAACCUUUCCCGCCUCUGGUGAAGUAAUGAUAAUCCAGUCGAACGUGGCCUCAGUUAAUAAAGAAGUGAGCCUGUCUAGAUCAGGUAAGUGCAUAUGCUGAAUGAGAGGAAGCUCAAGAGAAUCAAUCCCAUGUCUGACCAGAGCAUUGAUGAGCUUGCCGUUCUUCCCGCGUUCUCUGGUUACAACAACUUUCGGCUCCUUCGUCGAACACGAAACGGUGAUCCAUGAAAGUGAAACGCAAGCGCCGCCCCUGAAUGAACAACGUCCACAACUCCGCCGCUGCAGCGUGGUGGAAGACGACGACGUCGUCAACGGAGGAGGAGAGAAGGAGGAGAGAGAAGACAUUUUGUGGAACGCGUAACUGCCAGCUG